CCAUUUCAGAAGUUAGAGAGAGAAAGCUCGUUGGACAUAAAGGGGAAGCAGAGAGAGAGAGAGAGCGCUGAGGAAGCCGAGAGAGAGAAAGUACGGGACCUUGAAUCCCUAAUUUCUAUGCAAAACCAAGGUUUUUUUGGACAACAGCUCUUCUUGCGCCUCCCAUUUUGAGCCAUUUUUUUGAAGCUAUGGCGGGCAAUCAUGUUUUUGGAUAGCAGCUCUUCUUGUGCCUCCCAUUUUGAGCCAUUUUUUUGAAGCUAUGGCGGACCAUCAUGGACGUUGCUCCUGAUUUGGAUAGAGGCCUGUCGUUUGGGACACUUCUAAUCGGUAAACUUCUUCUAAUUCUUAUUGUUUUCGGAUACAAAGUCUUGAUCUCCCUUUCUUUUCAUUUAUGCUGAUUUUGAUUGUGUUUAGAUGCAAAUAUCUUGCUCUCCCUUUCCUGUUUUUGCAUAAAUUUAGUACCAAAUCAGUAUGAGCACAAACAAGCACAAACAAUUCAUAUGUACAAUACACUCAAACAAAUUAAUAUUUAAGAUUUUUUUUCUUUAGAACUUAUAUCUACACUCUGUAAUAUAACAACAUUUCCAUCUCUAAUAUGUUUUAUUUUAUGCAAUUCUUAUUGUUUUCAGAUACAAAGACUUGAUCUCCCUUUCUUCUCAUUUCUACUGACUUUGACUGUGUUUAGAUGCAAAUAUCUUGCUCUCCCUUUCCUGUUUCUGCAUAAAUUUAGUACCAAAUCAUUAUGAGCACAAACAAUUCAUAUGUACAAUGCACUCGAACAAAUUAAUAUUUAAGAUUUUUUUUUCUGUAGAACCUAUAUUACACUCUGUAUUAUAACAACAUUUCCAUCUCUAAUAUGUGCGGGACCUCGAAUCCCUAAUUUCUCUGCAAAGUCAGGGUUACUUUGGACAACAGCUCUUCUUGUGCCUCCCAUUUUGAGCCAUUUUUGUUAAAGCUAAGGCGGGCGAUCAUGGUUUCUUUGGACAGCAGCUCUUCUUGUACCUCCCAUUUUGAGCCAUUUUUUUUGAAGCUAUGGCGGGCGAUUAUGGACAUUGCUCCUGAUUUGGAUCUAGGGUUUUUGCUGGGUUGAUUAUGGUCGAGUAAACGCAUAGAGAAAGAGAGCAAUUCGAAUUCAUUAAAUGAGGAUUUGUAAUGUUCUUUUAAAAAUCUUCGAUUAACAUGUCUGUUGCUUUGUGAUCAGUAGAGGCUUGCCGUUUGGGACACUUCUAAUCGGUAAAAUUCUUCUAAUUCUUAUUGUUUUCGGAUACAAAGACUUGAUCUCCCUUUCUUCUCAUUUAUGCUGAUUUUGAUUGUGUUUAGAUGCAAAUAUCUUGCUCUCCCUUUCUUGUUUCGGCAUAAAUUUAGUACCAAAUCAUUAUGAGCACAAACAAGCACAAACAAUUCAUAUGUACAAUACACUCAAACAAAUUAAUAUUUAAGAUUUUUUUUUCUUUAGAGCCUAUAUAUACACUCUGUAAUAACAACAUUUCCAUCUCUAAUAUGUUUUAUUUUAUGCAAUUCUUAUUGUUUUAGGAUACAAAGACUUGAUCUCCCUUUCUUCUCAUUUAUGCUGAUUUUGAUUGUGUUUAGAUGCAAAUAUCUUUCUCUCCCUUUCUUGUUUUUGCAUAAAUUUAGAACCGAAUCAUUAUGAGCAGAAAUACACUCAAACAAAUUAAUAUUUAAGAUUUUUUUUUUUUAGAACCUAUAUGUACACUUUGUAAUAUAACAAUAUUUCCAUCUCUAAUAUAUUUUAUUUUAUGCAACAAAUUUUAUUAAUAAUUUUUUAUAUGGAUUCUAGUACACAAAUAAUUUGUGUCUGAAGGUCAAAAGUAGUCUGAUCAAAUUAAUAUUUAAGAUUUUUUUUUCUUUAGAACCUAUAUAUACACUUUGUAAUAUAACAACAUUUCCAUUUCUAAUAUGUUUUAUUUUAUGCAACAAAUUUAAUUAAGAAAUUUUUAUGUAAGUUCUAGCACACACAUAAUUUGUGUCUAAAGGUCAAAAGUAGAAUGAUUUUGAUCAAAUACUAGCAUUUAAAGUCGAUUGUUCUUGUCAGACUACAAUUAACUCGUGGCAUUUCGUUCGGCUCAUUGUAAUCUAGUAUUUCUUGGGAAAUCUUUUUACAAAUAUUCCUAAUAAUGUCUAAAAACCAGAUACUAUUUGAUCUUUCUUUAAUUUUGACUGGACCCAACUAGGAAGUAGCUUUCCUUGGAAUUAGUCUGGACCCAACUAGGAAGUAGCUUUCCUUGGAAUUAGUUUAGUGAUAGACAUUGAAAUAGCUAUCACUUAUCAGCCAACCAAAGACAAACUCAAAAAAGGAUACACACAAUAUUCAAAGCAUGUCAUAUAUUGGCUUAUAUAUAGGUCUACACUCCCAUUGUAGGAAACAAAUUUACUCCAUAGUCCAUAUUAGCAUUUAGCAGCCAAAUUUAAUGGAAGUUUCAACCAAAAGUAUUUUCAACACAAGCAGAAUAUGUUAUUGUGGCAUUAUGAAUCCUUGAUACGUGUUUUUGCUUAUGGGGUCUAGUGAGAGAGCUAGUUCUUCUUUGAAGAAUGAUGGACAUUUUUUGUUUUUGGAUUAGAGGAAGAGUAAUCCAAUAAAAAAUCUUUUAUGGCGUUCCUCAAAAAAAUCUUUUUUUUUAGUGAUUUUUGUUUUAUUUUAUGUGAAUUGUAUCUUAAGAAACUUUCGAGCGCUCCCUCUCUAUCUCUACCUAUCUUAUUGUGAUAUGUAGUAGUGAAUUUUAAUUUUUUUAGUUUUUUUGCUAUCAAUUUAUAACUCAAUUUCUAAUUAGUACUUUUUAUUUAUUGUUAUGUUACGUAUAGAUUUAUUUUGAAAUUCCUGCUUAUACUUAAAGUUUGUGUCCAUCUGAUAUAGAAAUGAAUAUGUGUUAAUUAUUUAUGUUUAGGUAUUACUGAUUAAAAGUUAUAGACAUCAAUGAGAAGGGUGCUCAAGUGGUGACAAUGUUGCUAAUAUGAAGCUUAUUGAGCCCUACAUACCCAUUGAGUCACUCAUACACCUGAUUUAUCUUAUAAGAUGGACCAAGAUGAGCUCUAGAAAAACAAUGCAAGAAGUCAAAGCUGAGGCCAUAUGUAUAUCUUAAAUUUUCAAUGACUAUAUCAGUUUGGAUAACAAUGCGAGAAAUCAAAGCAGAGGCCAUAUCUUUAAGAACAAGUUUUUUUUACAAGCCCAAUGGGCAAUCCUCAAGCUCAUCAUCUUAGAAAUUUUUUACAAGCUCAAUGCUCAACAGUCAAAUUCAUCAUCUUAGAAAUUUUUUGCAAGCCCAAUGCUCAACAAUCAAGCUCUUCAUCUUAGACAUUUUUGCAACCCCAAUGCUAGUGGAGAAGACUUUGUCUUGGAACGGAGCUUCGAAAUGGAAUUUUUGUAUAGCUUCCAUAUGUUGUAAAUUCAUGUUACAAGUAGAAUUUUGCAUAGUUUCAAAGUGCAUGUUGAAUAGCUUCAAAAUGAAAAUUCUGUAUAGCUUUUCAUUUUGCAAAUUGAUGUUGCAAACAAAAUUUUUGUAUUGCUUUGAAAUGAAAUUUGUGUAUAGCUUCCAUAUGUUGCAAA